CUCCAACCCCUGUGACAUACCACUUGUUGCCUCGGCGGAUCAGCCCGCUCCCGGUAAAACGGGACGGCCCGCCAGAGGACCCCUAAACUCUGUUUCUAUAUGUAACUUCUGAGUAAAACCAUAAAUAAAUCAAAACUUUCAACAACGGAUCUCUUGGUUCUGGCAUCGAUGAAGAACGCAGCAAAAUGCGAUAAGUAAUGUGAAUUGCAGAAUUCAGUGAAUCAUCGAAUCUUUGAACGCACAUUGCGCCCGCCAGUAUUCUGGCGGGCAUGCCUGUUCGAGCGUCAUUUCAACCCUCAAGCACAGCUUGGUGUUGGGACUCGCGUUAAUUCGCGUUCCUCAAAUUGAUUGGCGGUCACGUCGAGCUUCCAUAGCGUAGUAGUAAAACCCUCGUUACUGGUAAUCGUCGCGGCCACGCCGUUAAACCCCAACUUCUGAAUGUUGACCUCGGAUCAGGUAGGAAUACCCGCUGAACUUAAGCAUAUCAAUAAGCGGAGGAA
rnacentral:rRNA from 2 species